ACUGGUAAAUUUACUAUUAUUAAAAAAACAUAUACCUAAGCCUAUUAAAACAGUUAUACAUUUAAGGUAUUUUAAUAAAUCAAGGAGAGCCGGAAAGCGCUUAUUUAAUGGAUUAAGAGCCUAUGAUUAAAUUGCAUCGUCUGCUAAAAGGGAUGAAAAGAUGUAGGAGUUACCUAAUGAUGACGCGAACGGUUUCAUCCACGAGGUGAAUAAAGGGAUAAAAUUUACCAUGAUAAAUUACACCCUCUCUAAAGCUUAGACGAUUUUUUGGCGGAUAAAUGUCGUGCCAGAGCAAGAAUGACCUAGUAAAUUUUACCAUCGAUAAAUAACUGUUAAAUUUUAUUACCACUAAAUAAUGUUUACUCAUAAAAAUAAAUUGUUAUUAUACUUAAUUUUUAAUAAAAUAUUUUUUUUACAA